rnacentral:lncRNA from 1 species
AUAUUUCAAUAUUUAUUAGUUUGAUUGAAGCAAAAAUUGGUGAAUGCAAUUUAAACUUAAAUAUCUAAAAAUUAGCUAAUUUUUAGAAUAAUUGAAUGAUUUAACAAGAAGAUUUAUUUUUUGAGAGAUUAACAUUCAAGUUGGAAAAGGAAGGUUUUGAGAGGUUUUGAGAUCUUUUCUUUUAAUUAUUUUAUUUUAUUUUUUUCAAAUUUUAUAUGAUUUAAAAAAAAAUUGGAAUAAAAUCCAAGUAAAAUUUUAAUCAAUAUCAAUGAUUCAACUAAUAUUUAUUUAAAUUUAAAAAUAGCUAUAGUAAUUGAUUAAGAUUUAUUUAAGAUUUUAUUAGGAUUGAUUUAAGAAUUGAUUAGCAUUUAAUUAGUAUUUAAGAUUUGAUCAAAAUUUGGUUAGAAUUGAUUUAGGAUUUUAUUAAGGUUUGGUCUAGGCUUUGGUUAGGAUUUAAAAUUUGAUUAGAAUUUGGUUAGAAUUUUAAUAAGAUUUGAUUAGAAUUUAAUUAAGAUAUUAUUCAGGUUUGGUUUAAGAUUUGAUUAGGAUUUAAUUUCGAAUUUGAUUAGAAUUUAAUUUAGGAUUUAAUUAAGAUGUAAUUAGGAUAUUUUUAGAAUUUAAUUAGAAAUUUAUC